UACAGAGGGUGCGAGCGUUAAUCGGAUUUACUGGGCGUAAAGGGCGCGUAGGUGGUAAGGCAAGUAAGAUGUGAAAGCCCUGGGCUUAACCUGGGAAGUGCAUCUUAAACUGCCUAACUAGAGUAUGGUAGAGGGUAGUGGAAUUUCCGGUGUAGCGGUGAAAUGCGUAGAGAUCGGAAGGAACGCCAGUGGUGAAGACGACUACCUGGACCAAUACUGACACUGAGGCGCGAAAGCGUGGGGAUCAAACAGG
rnacentral:rRNA from 1 species